UACGAAGGGGGCUAGCGUUGCUCGGAAUCACUGGGCGUAAAGGGUGCGUAGGCGGGUCUUUAAGUCAGAGGUGAAAUCCUGGAGCUCAACUCCAGAACUGCCUUUGAUACUGAGGAUCUUGAGUUCGGGAGAGGUGAGUGGAACUGCGAGUGUAGAGGUGGAAUUCGUAGAUAUUCGCAAGAACACCAGUGGCGAAGGCGGCUCACUGGCCCGAUACUGACGCUGAGGCACGAAAGCGUGGGGAGCAAACAGG
rnacentral:rRNA from 1 species